rnacentral:rRNA from 1 species
AUUGAACGCUGGCGGCAGGCUUAACACAUGCAAGUCGAGCGAGCGGCGGACGGGUGAGUAAUGUCUGGGGAUCUGCCCGAUGGAGGGGGAUAACUACUGGAAACGGUGGCUAAUACCGCAUACUAUCGGAGGAACACCUAUGGGCUUAGCUAGUAGGUGGGGUAAGGGCUCACCUAGGCGACGAUCUCUAGCUGGUCUGAGAGGAUGACGAGCCACACCGGAACUGAGACACGGCCCAGACUCCUACGGGAGGCAGCAGGGGGGAAUAUUGCACGAUGGGCGCAAGCCUGAUGGAGCCAUGCCGCGGGUAUGAAGAAGGCCUUAGGGUUGUAAAGUACUUGCAGCGGGGAGGCGUUACCCGCAGAAGAAGCACCGGCUAACUCCGUGCCAGCAGCCGCGGUAAUAA